rnacentral:rRNA from 1 species
CGCCUGUUUAUCAAAAACAUGUCUUUUUGAUUAAUAAUUUAAAGUCUGGUCUGCCCACUGAUUAAAAUAAUUAAAGGGCUGCAGUAUUUUGACUGUACAAAGGUAGCAUAAUAAUUAGUCUUUUAAUUGAUGACUUGUAUGAAUGAUUGGAUAAAGUAUAAUCUGUCUCUUAAUAAAUUUAUAGAAUUUAAUUUUUUAUUUAAAAAGUUAAAAUAAUUUUAAAAGACGAGAAGACCCUAUAGAGUUUAAUAAUUUUAUAAAUUAAAAUUAUAUUUAUAAAUUUAAUUAAAAAUUAUAUAAUUAUUUUAUUGGGGUGAUAAAAAAAUUAAUAAAACUUUUUUUAAAUAUUAACAAAAAUAAUUGAAUAUUUGAUCCAAUUUUAUUUUGAUUAUAAGAUUAAAUUACCUUAGGGAUAACAGCGUAAUUUUUUUUUUUAGUUCUUAUAAAAAAGAAAGUUUGCGACCUCGAUGUUGGAUUAAGAUAAAAUUUAAAUGCAAAAGUUUAAAAUUUUGAUCUGUUCGAUCAUUAAAAUCUUACAUGAUCUGAGUUCAAACCGGAG